rnacentral:rRNA from 1 species
UACGUAGGGUGCAAGCGUUGUCCGGAAUUAUUGGGCGUAAAGAGCUCGUAGGCGGCUCGUUGCGUCGGCUGUGAAAACCCGCAGCUCAACUGUGGGCUUGCAGCCGAUACGGGCGGGCUGGAGUUCGGUAGGGGAGACUGGAAUUCCCGGUGUAGCGGUGAAAUGCGCAGAUAUCAGGAGGAACACCGGUGGCGAAGGCGGGUCUCUGGGCCGAUACUGACGCUGAGGAGCGAAAGCGUGGGGAGCGAACAGG